rnacentral:rRNA from 1 species
UGGGGAAUAUUGCACAAUGGGCGCAAGCCUGAUGCAGCCAUGCCGCGUGUAUGAAGAAGGCCUUCGGGUUGUAAAGUACUUUCAGCGAGGAGGAAGGCGUUAAGGUUAAUAACCUUGGCGAUUGACGUUACUCGCAGAAGAAGCACCGGCUAACUCCGUGCCAGCAGCCGCGGUAAUACGGAGGGUGCAAGCGUUAAUCGGAAUUACUGGGCGUAAAGCGCACGCAGGCGGUCUGUUAAGUCAGAUGUGAAAUCCCCGGGCUCAACCUGGGAACUGCAUUUGAAACUGGCAGGCUUGAGUCUUGUAGAGGGGGGUAGAAUUCCAGGUGUAGCGGUGAAAUGCGUAGAGAUCUGGAGGAAUACCGGUGGCGAAGGCGGCCCCCUGGACAAAGACUGACGCUCAGGUGCGAAAAGCGUGG